GGGGCUGACUUUAAGCUCGACGUUGGACUUUAUCGGUUAGACAAGCAGGUCGCUUUCUCAGCGUUAUAGGGUAAACAGAAUAGAUGCAAAAACUAUUCCUAGUAGCGUAGCUGACAUGGCCCGCCAAGCUUUUGGCGUUCGUCAGUCAGACUUUGCGCUCGCAGCCUAAGUUAUAACUUUGGCCGUGUCUCGUGUGACUUCAGAUAAUACGUGUGCACGCUAUAUCAUCUGGAUGCCUGGACGACCCUGUCCGUAGUUGUACAGUAAGACCUUUCGGACUGGUGCGUAUGCCUUUUGUCGGUUUUGACGCAUACGCAUAAGACGCUCAAAUCGACUAAACCUGUAGAAGCCUGGCCAAGAUAAACUAGCGGACGCGGAGGGCAGUACUCCGCCAGCUCCACCA
rnacentral:tmRNA from 1 species